CAACCAACGGCUCGCGAAGCAGCAGCGAGUGAGCUACGACAAUGGCCGCCGCAAUCUACUUAGCUUCCUCUAAACCUUCUUCCUCUCCUCCAUGUCUUCCUCUCCCACGCCGUCCCUCCUCGCCUCCUCCUUCCUCGACGCUUCUUCUUUCUGGACGAGGCGAUCGCCGGGGAACGGUGGCGGUGCUGCUGGCUGGGGGAGUCGCAGCCCUCGCCGCCGCGGCGUCAGCUCAGGCUUUGCCGGUCGGAUCUCCCGCGAUCGAUGCGCUUUCUUCUCUCCAGGAGCCCGAGAACGCGCUGUCCCUGCCCACCUGGGCGAUCCACGUCUCCAGCGUCAUCGAAUGGGUCACUGCGAUGGCAUUGGUGUGGGAAUACGGGGAGAAGUCCGGGCUCCAGACUUGGAAAGGUCUCUGCUGGGGAAUGGUUCCACUUCUUGGAGGAGCAUUUUGUGCAUGUACAUGGCAUUUCUUUUAUAACUCAGAGUCUCUUGAGGUAUUGGUAGCUCUUCAGUCAGCAUUGACAGUUCUUGGCAACAUGACGAUGUGUUUUGCUGCAUAUCGAAUAUAUAAAGCAUCCCAAGAAGGCUCAACGAGCUCCUAAGUUGAGUCCAUGAGUCGAAGAAAGGUAAUGACUAGUGGCCAUACUGUACUGUUUGUUAUUAUGCUUGUGAUUCCCCUAGUUAUCAUUAUAUUUUCAAUGUUUAAAAUAUAUUUAAGAUGUGUUUUCUUAAAGUUAGGGUCUCAAGAUUGAAAUAUUUGCUAUGAAAUUCAUCAUUUUGUGCUGAUCGACACACGAAAUAGAUUUGGGUCUCAAGAUGAUGCAAAUGCAUGAUUUCCAGCUGACCUUGAAUUGCAGCUUGCACGAGCUACGACCUUGAGUUGUACACCUUUGCCAAAACAUUGCUGUUAUUCCUCUCUGGUCAAGGAGUUGUUCUUAAUUUCGCCUGCUGUUCCAUGCCUUUAAGACAAAUCCUAAGCUCAUUGUUCUGACAUUUCAGUGCUGUUAUUCCUGUCUGGUCAAGGAGUUGUUCAUGAGCCAUGAAAUAAUCAACAUAACAAUCAGCCAAUAUGAACUCAUGCCUGCAGCGUGUUCAAUUGCUCAGAUAGUAUAGUUGCUUCAGUCUGCAACGCUUGCAACUUGUUCUCUAAUUCUGAGAUGAACCUCAGCUUCUUCUCCUUCGAUCGAGCUGCUGAUUGCCUGUUCGCCAAAAUCCUGAUGGAGAUUCAACAGCCGUUUGAGAUUUCCUGAAAAUUGAGAAGAACAAAAGUUGGAAAAGCACCUCUUGAUUCUCUUUGAAUCUGUUUCUGCCAUUUCUACGAGCUUCUUGUUCGCCAGAAUCUUCUUCAUCUCGGUGCUGUUGAACUCCGAACUUGAGGUGUUGGUCAUGGUGUCCUGGAGCUUUCCUAUAAGACUCUCCAUGGAAAGGCUACGGAAGUGAUUCGUGGUUGCGGAGCCGCUCUUGUUGCCCUCCUUGAUACCAUCGCCAUUUGCAGCGGUGCCGUCGGCCGUGGUGAUCAUCCUCCUUGGAAAGGAUUAAUCUGCAGCUAUCCAAAUCGUCAGGCUUCUCCUCUGUUGCCGACCCGUCGAGUGGGUCGAAAUAGUCCAAGUUCAUAUAGGCAUUGAAGAGAUCAUUGGCGGCGUUGCUAAUCGCCUACGGGCUGCUCUCCGUUUCAGCUUCUGGCUUCACUUUUCCCUCCACAAGGACUGGCGAGGAAGAAGAGAGGCGAUGAGUCUUGUCCCGAGGCAUGCCAUCCGAGGCGGCGGCACCGGCACCGGCAGUGGUAAAGGAGGGAUGGGGCAGGGAAUCGUGGCACAGGUAAUCGAGGGGCUGCGAGAAGUGGAAGUGGGCGGAGGUAGGAGACAGAGAUCGAACCGAAGCGGUCGAUGCAGAUGGAGAGGAUGUAAUGCCGAGCCGGGUAAAGCUGAUGGGCACAAACUGGUGAAAGAACGUCGCACCGGCAGAGGGAACGGCGGCUGAGGAUGACAGAGAUGAGAUCGCCGGCAAGGGCUCGAGCCCGUCGUAUUUCGGCAGGAAUUCGAUGACCGUGAUUCUUUUCUAGGUUCAUAUUUUUACUGAGGUUAUAGUUUCAACCGGGACACCGGGACAGACGAUCAGAAGUCAUCCCAGCUCGACACUGGACACCUUGGCCAUCCACCACCGGCGGCUUUCCGAUAGGAAUAUGAAUCGAAAAAGGAAUUACAAUCAAUAACGGUUACAAUUAAAAUCAUGGAAUAUUAUAGGAAUGCUAUAAAGGAUUUAUUCCCGUUUACCCUCAGCGCAUUCUACUCA